rnacentral:rRNA from 1 species
AUGCUCGACACCUACGGGGGCGAGCAGUGGGGAAGUAUUGCACAAUGGGGGAAACCCGUGAUGCAGCGACGCCGCGUGAGCGAAGAAGUAUUUCGGUAUGUAAAGCUCUAUCAGCAGGGAAGAAACUGACGGUACCUGACUAAGAAGCACCGGCUAAAUACGUGCCGGCAGCCGCGGUAAUCUGAGCGGGCUGGCAAGGC